GUAAGAGAUAGGGUACAUGGGUAGGAGG
rnacentral:piRNA from 1 species